UAUUCUCACUCUUUAAUUGAGAGCUAAGCAAUUAAUAGGCAAAUGGGAGUACCACUUUGUGAAGAACACAUGACAUCGAUGAUAAUGAACUUGAAGCUACAGAUUUUUUUAUCGCGCGAUAUGGGACGGCCGGAGAAGUAUUUCGAGGACUGAAAAGGAAUUUGGUUAUGUGGAGGCAAGUCACACAGAAUUGGCUAUUUUCAGUGUCUUUAAAUUUGAUCGUUGCUAUCCGUUGUAUUGUAUUGUAUUAUUAGUUAAAUAUUUCUAUAUCGAAUCGUUUAAAUCUAUCCUUAGAUAAUGACGAAAAGUCUUAUUUUAUGUAACGGUCGAUUUGGUGUGAUCACGUCAUUAUCUUAAUAUAGUUUCUCAUUUUAUCUUUA